GACGAACGCUGGCGGCGUGCUUAAUACAUGCAAGUCGAACGGAAAGGCCCUGCUUUUGUGGGGUGCUCGAGUGGCGAACGGGUGAGUAACACGUGAGUAACCUGCCCUUGACUUUGGGAUAACUUCAGGAAACUGGGGCUAAUACCGGAUAGGAGUUCCUGUUGCAUGGUGGGGGUUGGAAAGUUUCGGCGGUUGGGGAUGGACGCGCGGCUUAUCAGCUUGUUGGUGGGGUAGUGGCUUACCAAGGCUUUGACGGGUAGCCGGCCUGAGAGGGUGACCGGCCACAUUGGGACUGAGAUACGGCCCAGACUGCUACGGGAGGCAGCAGUGGGGAAUAUUGCACAAUGGGCGGAAGCCUGAUGCAGCAACGCCGCGUGCGGGAUGACGGCCGUCGGGUUGUAAACCGCGUUCGCCUGUGACGAAGCGUGAGUGACGGUAAUUGGUAAAGAAGCACCGGCUAACUACGUG
rnacentral:rRNA from 1 species